UCCACAACCCAUGUUAAUAUAUUAGUAGUAGACCAAAUAUGUAGAUAGAUAUGUCACUAUAUGUAUAGAUGUCCAUUUUCACUUGUCACUUUAACUCAUUUCGUACUUCAUAAUUUAUAUGACCAAAUAUGUAUAUAUGCUGACAGUUAUUUUACUCUUAUUUUUACUCAUCUCCUAUUUCAGAGUCUUG